AUGGACUUCAAACUAAUAGUGAUCCUUGUGGCCUGCUUGUUCUUUUGCAUUACUAACAGAGGUGUUCACGCAGGCAACGCAGAUGCAUCCUCGUGCAGAGCUUCGGAUCUCGUCGUCAGCACGAAGGCCGAGGCCGGCCCGGGAGGAAGACCGCAGCACUUCGUGAGCGUGAUCAACACUUGCAGCUGCGCGCAGAAGAACAUCAAGCUGGCGUGCCCGGGCUUCAACUACACCAUCGAUGUCUACCCGGCGAGCGCCAUCAGGCGGGACCGCGACGGCGUGCACUGCACCCUCCUCGGCGGCCGCCCGGUGGGGCCUGCCCGGUCGGUUAGCUUCAUCUACGAGUCGAGCGCAACCUUCAGCUUCCAGCCCGUCUCCUCCACCAGCGUCUGUUAG
rnacentral:rRNA from 1 species